UACAGAGGGUGCGAGCGUUAAUCGGAAUGACUGGGCGUAAAGGGCAUGUAGGCGGUUGUGUUAGUCUGAUGUGAAAGACCCGGGCUUAACCUGGGAUAUGCAUUGGAAACGGCAUAGCUAGAGUAUGGGAGAGGGAAGUGGAAUUUCCGGUGUAGCGGUGAAAUGCGUAGAGAUCGGAAAGAACACUCGUGGCGAAGGCGGCUUUCUGGCCCAUAACUGACGCUGAGGUGCGAAAGCAUGGGGAGCAAACAGG
rnacentral:rRNA from 1 species